GUCAUUUAAUUUAGUAAAACUUAAUAAUACUCUCUAAAUUGGUGGACUAACCAUUAUAAAAUCGCUAUUUUCUAGAGAAACGGAGACAACAAAAGUUCAUAACCUCAUUGACCUUCAUUAUAUGUUAGUAAAAGAUGCAACUAUGCAUUAAAACAAUAUUUUCAUAUUUUUAAAUUUUUCUCAAAAUCUAUGUAUCCUUAAGAAAAUAUUAAUUUUUCGUUAAAUGCAUUAUAUACUGAUGCUUACGAUCUUUAGUGUUGUUUUAAAAAUUCUAAACACAUUUUAAAUUUGUAUUAAUGUGUAUUAAACUCUCUUUCAUGGUACAUGAGCAUCGUUUUAAUUUUUUGUCAAUUAAUUUAUUAAAACUUCAUAAUACUCCUUAAAUUAGUGGACUAACCACUAUAAAAUCGCUAUUUUCUAGAGAGACAGAGACAAUAAAAGUUCCAAACCUCUUUGACCUUCAUCAUAUGUUAGUGAAUGAUGCAACUAUGCAUUAAAAUAAUAUUUUCAUAUUUUUGAAUUUUUAUCAAAAUCUAUGUGUUAAACCCUACGAAAAUAUUGAAUGUUUCGGUAAAUGCUCUAUAUACUGAAGCUUAUGAUCUUUAGUGUUGUUUUAAAAUUUAUAAACACAUUCUACAUUUGUAUUAAUGUAUAUUAAACUCUCUUUCAUGGUACAUGGAUAUCAUUUUAAUUUUUUUGUCAAUUAAUUUAGUAAAACUUCAUGAUACUCGUUAAAUUGGUGAACUAACCACUAUAAAAUCGCUAUUUUCUCGAGAAACGAAGACAAUAAAAGUUCCAAACCUCUUUGACCUUCAUCAAAAGUUCCAAACCUCAUAAAAACAAUAUUUUCAUAUUUUUUAUUUUUUCUCAAAAUCUAUGUGUUAACCCCUACGAAAAUGUUGAUUUAUUUGGUAAAUACUAUAUAUACUUAAACCUAUGAUCUUUAUUGUUGUUUUAAAAUAUUUAAACACGUUCUACAUUUGUAUUAAUUUAUAUUAAACUCUCAUUCAUGGUACAUAGGCAUCGUUAAUGUUUUGUCAAUUAAUUUAGUAAAACUUCAUAAUACUACUUAAAUUAGUGGACUAACCACUAUAAAAUCGCUUUUAAAAAAAAACGGAGACAACAAUGGUUCCAAACCUCUUUGACCUUCAACAUAGGUUAGUGAAGGAUGCAACUAUGCAUUAAAAUGUUAUUUUCAUAUCUUUGAAUUUUUCUCAAAAUAUAUGCGUUAACCCCUACGAAAAUAUUGAAUUUUUCGGUAAAUGGUCUAUAUACUAAAACCUAUAAUCUUUCUAAACACAUUCCAAAUUUUUAUUAAUGUAUAUUAAACUCUCUUUCAUGGUACAUUGACAUCGUUUAAAAUUUUUGUCAAUUAAUUUAGUAAAACUUAAUAAUAAUCUCUAAAUUGGUGGACUAACCACUAUAAAAUCGCUAUUUUCUAGAGAAACGGAGACAACAAAAGUUCAUAACCUCAUUGACCUUCAUUAUAUGUUUGUGAAAGAUGCAAAUAUGCAUUAAAACAAUAUUUUCAUAUUUUU